AUGUAAACUCGUACAUCGCGGUUCCUCCGCGCGGCCCACGCCCACCUGACGACUGCUCGCUACGUUUUGUAAGCC
rnacentral:sRNA from 1 species